AUGAGCAUUACGCCGUGGCACUACCAUUCCCAGACCCAGCUGCUGUUGCCUCUUCUCCUGAUCGCCCUUGCGGCGGCCACCCGGUUGGUGGUCCUAGGAGCCGCUGCUGAAAAGCAGGGGCAGCCAAUCACACUUCCGGGUUGCCCAGACAAGUGCGGCGACAUUAGCCUCCCGUUCCCGUUCGGCCUCGCCGCCAUGCCCGGCUGCUUCCUUGAGGGCUUCGAGGUCUCCUGCAACGACUCCUUCGACCCCCCUCGAGCCUUCCUUGCUUACCCAGGUUUAUCCCAGAGUGUGACCCGCUACUCCUACAUCUACUCGGGGGCGGCGAACAUCACUGGCCGGGUGCGGGACAUGAAUAUCACGGUCGUGGUGGCGCCGUUCGAGCUCAUUGGCGUAUCAUCCGCCAAGGGCGAGGUGCAGGUGUACGGCGCUGUAGCAUCCGUCUGCAGCACAAAUGCUGACAACUUUGUCAAAACUAGACAGGCUACAUAUUUGGUAGACACGCUCAGCAUCAACGGGGAGGGGCCGUCGCCGUUCCUCCUGUCGAUGACGCGCAAUGUUCUCGUCGGCAUCGGCUGGGACGUCGAUGCUAUGGUCUCCAGCAGCAUCGGGGGGAAGGUCGGAAACAGCUACUUCCUCACCUGCGAGUCAGACCUCAGGGGCAACCUGCACGACGCCACCAAUGGCUCCUGCUCCCGGCGGGGCUGCUGCCAGCCCUCCUUCCCGGAAGCGGCUCCCCUCGACAGGUUCUCUGUCAACGUGGAUGGGCCCUAUAACAACACCCUGUGGGAGACCAACCCGUGCUCCUAUGCCAUGGUGGUGGAGAGUUCGUGGUACAACUUCUCUACGCCGGACUUGUACGGCGACGAGUUGCAGCGCAAGAUACUGCCAAGGGGCGUGCCGUACGUGCUGGAUUUCGCCAUCCGGAGCGGAUCAUGUCCACCCGAAGGGCAGCCGUCUCCCGUGUGCGCCAGCGCCGACAGCUAUUGUGCCAACGCAACCAGGGGGCCUGGCUUUGUCUGCAAAUGCUUGCCCCACUAUGAGGGUAACCCUUACAUCACCGGUGGAUGCAAAGACAUCGAUGAGUGCGAGCACCCUGAUUUGUAUCCUUGUUCUGGGACAUGCAUAAACAAGCCAGGAGGCUAUGAUUGCCCAUGCCAAAGAGGGGAGAAAGGGGACGGGAAAACAGGAACUUGUGCAGACAAAUUCCCCCUACUACUAACAGUGGUUGUUGGUGCAAUAGGGGGGAUUUCUUUCAUUUCAAUUGUGACACUUGUUAUUCUUCUUCGCAAAGAGAAAAUAAAGAUGAGAGAAUUCUAUGAAAAGAAUGGCGGGCCUACCUUACAGAAGGCAAAAAUCAUAAAACUUUUCAAGAAGGAGGAACUCAAACCAAUUCUAAAGAGUAGAAAUUUUAUUGGAAAAGGUGGCUUUGGUGAAGUUUACAAGGGUAGGCUGCUUGAUAUUGGGCUAGUUGCAGUGAAGAAGCCAAUUAGUGGUAGUGUGUUAGAAAACAAUCAAUUUGCUAAUGAAGUCAUCAUCCAAUCUCAAGUAAUCCACAAGAACAUAGUCAGGCUCAUCGGUUGUUGCCUAGAAGUUGAUAUCCCAAUGCUAGUAUAUGAGUUUCUUUCCAGAGGUAGUCUCGAUGACAUUCUUCAUAAUAACAAUGUUGCACCUCUUGACUUGGAUGUGCGUUUACACAUUGCUGCUGAGGUAGCAGAUGCUCUAGCUUAUAUGCACUCAAAAGCCCAUACUAGAAUCUUACAUGGUGAUGUCAAACCAGCAAAUAUACUCUUGGAUGAUGACUUUAUGCCAAAGAUUUCAGAUUUUGGCAUAUCGAGGUUGAUUGUGAGAGAUAGACAACACACAAAUACAGUCAUUGGUGACAGGAGUUAUAUGGAUCCAGAGUACCUACGGUCGGGCCUACUGACUGAAAAAAGUGAUGUCUACAGUUUUGGAGUUGUGAUACUGGAACUUAUUAGUAGGCAACAGGCUACACAUUUAGAUGGUAGUGGAUUAGUAGACAAUUUCCUUGCAGCCCACAAAGAAAAUAGAGUUGCUGCGUUGUUUGAUAACGCAUUUACAAGGCCGAGAGAUUUGGAGCUUCUUGGCAAUCUUGCAGGGAUCGCUAUACAAUGUCUUGAAGAUGAUGUGAAUCAAAGGCCAUCAAUGGUAGAGGUAGCUGAGCGCAUUCUCGCAAUUUAUCAAUCUCAUAUCACGUUAAUUUAG
rnacentral:rRNA from 1 species